UUAUUUUAGCGGCGGACGGGUGAGUAACGUGUGGGUAACCUGCCUUUUACUGGGGAAUAAUCACUGGAAACGGUGACUAAUACCGCAUACGGUUCUUGGAAGGCAUCUUCUAGGAAAGAAAGGAUUUAUUCGGUAAAAGAUGGGCCCGCAUCUGAUUAGCUAGUUGGUGAGAUAACAGCCCACCAAGGCGACGAUCAGUAGCCGACCUGAGAGGGUGACCGGCCACAUUGGGACUGAGACACGGCCCAAACUCCUACGGGAGGCAGCAG
rnacentral:rRNA from 1 species